rnacentral:rRNA from 2 species
ACAGGGAUUGCCCUAGUAACGGCGAGUGAAGCGGCAACAGCUCAAAUUUGAAAUCUGGCUCUUUCAGAGUCCGAGUUGUAAUUUGCAGAGGGCGCUUUGGCGUUGGCAGCGGUCCAAGUUCCUUGGAACAGGACGUCACAGAGGGUGAGAAUCCCGUACGUGGUCGCUAGCCAUCGCCGUGUAAAGCCCCUUCGACGAGUCGAGUUGUUUGGGAAUGCAGCUCUAAAUGGGAGGUAAAUUUCUUCUAAAGCUAAAUACUGGCCAGAGACCGAUAGCGCACAAGUAGAGUGAUCGAAAGAUGAAAAGCACUUUGGAAAGAGAGUCAAAUAGCACGUGAAAUUGUUGAAAGGGAAGCGCUUGCAGCCAGACUUGCCUGUAGUUGCUCAUCCGGGCUUUUGCCCGGUGCACUCUUCUGCGGGCAGGCCAGCAUCAGUUUGGGCGGUUGGAUAAAGGUCUCUGUCAUGUACCUCUCUUCGGGGAGAACUUAUAGGGGAGACGACAUGCAACCAGCCUGGACUGAGGUCCGCGCAUUUGCUAGGAUGCUGGCGUAAUGGCUGUAAGCGGCCCGUCUUGAAACACGGACCAAGGAGUCUAACAUCUAUGCGAGUGUUUGGGUGUCAAGCCCGAGCGCGUAAUGAAAGUGAACGGAGGUGGGACCCCUUUAGGGUGCACCAUCGACCGAUCCUGAUGUCUUCGGAUGGAUUUGAGUAAGAGCAUGGCUGUUGGGACCCGAAAGAUGGUGAACUAUGCUUGAAUAGGGUGAAGCCAGAGGAAACUCUGGUGGAGGCUCGCAGCGGUUCUGACGUGCAAAUCGAUCGUCAAAUUUGGGCAUAGGGGCGAAAGACUAA